UCUUAUAAAUCCAAAAUAAUUUUCAAAUUGGGCCACGAAACAUACUUCAGUGGGCCCUAGCACAUUAGCCUAAUCGGGUCGGGUUCGGCCUAUUUGAUUAUCUCAAUUCACUGCACUGAUGUCGCCGGUGGCUACCGCCAGUUUCCACCACCGCCAUUGGUCGCGCUUCAGUGUUGCUGCCGCUUCAAUCAUGUUGAUUCUUUCAUCAGGCGAAAUGGCUAAACAUUUCAUUGCUAAUUCAAACACACAUGUUAUCCCAUCCAUCUUCAUAUCGACAUGUCAAUCUCGUGCUGGAAGCAAAUCAGGGGCUAAUACUUGACUGAUUUCAUUUGCUUGCAAUGCUUCACUCACCCACUCCUUCAAGCUCUUUUCCCCAUCAAACAUGUCAUCUGUCGGCUUUUUUCUUGUGAACAUCUCCAACAGCAUUAUCCCAAAACUGUAUACAUCAGCACUCGUGGAUACUUUUCCUUCCGAUCCAUACUCUAAUUGCAUCACAAGUUUGUGAUCACCAAAAAAACUCAAUUCAUAUGAGAAUACAUAUAGUAAAGAAAAUUAAUGUUUUUACCCAA